GAAAUGCGAUACUUGGUGUGAAUUGCAGAAUCCCGUGAACCAUCGAAUCUUUGAACGCAAAUUGCGCCUUCUUUCGGAAGGCAUGUCUGUUUGAGGGCACCAUUUAACAAAUAAUGUGCAGGUUGCGUGUAUGUGCAGAUUGCGUGUAUGCGCAGCAGGCACACGUUGAUGAGCUUUCCGAAAACAUCACAGUUUUCGGUGGCGCAUAAUGAACGGCGUGGCCUUUUUUUCAAUGCGAGUGUAAUAAACUUUGAUGUGAACGACACUUGUUGCGGAAAAAUGUGGCGCGCAAUGGGUGUGGCGAAUUUACCCCUGCCCCAAUGCCACUCUUUCUUUCGAAAGACAAUUUAUCUUCAGGGCCUCAAAUCAGACAAGAGUACCCGCUGAACUUAA
rnacentral:misc_RNA from 1 species